rnacentral:ribozyme from 1 species
UUACUAACUCCGCCUGUAGCUCUUAUAGGGUUGCUGCCGGUCCCAAGCCCGGGUAAAGGAGGAGGGUUGG